GUGAAUCAUCAAAUUUUUGAACGCAAAUUGCACUUUCUUGGAUUCCUGAAAGUAUUCCUGGUUGAGGGUCAGUUAAAUAAAAAUCGUUGUUGUUUCUGCUUUUCGUUGUGACGCGUCGGAAUUGAGUUAUCUUACCUGCUUUUAAGUGACUUAAAAUUUUGCAUGUGGUUCGAACGAAGUUAAAUUGCUUACGUACUUUUGAGGUUUCGGAUACUUUUUUAUGUUCGAUCAUCCUAUUGAUUCGCACC
rnacentral:misc_RNA from 1 species